CCNUUAGAGNAAGUAAAAGUCGUAACAAGGUUUCCGUAGGGUGAACCU
rnacentral:rRNA from 1 species